AAAACAUAAGAUCUUUCAUCAGGUUUGCACAGUUGGGUAUUUUAUCCUUUCUCUACAGCAUAUAGCAGGGGCUUAGGUAAAGCAGGCUGGAUGGUCCUUCUAAUUCAUGGGGGGUUAGUUUAGUUUGACUCUGAAAACAUAUCUUGGCCGAAGAGCUGCAUUUCUAAUGGCUGUGCAGUGUGUUGGGUGUCCUGCCAAAUAGCUGGGGACUGCAGCACUAUGUUGUUAAUUCCUUUCUGCCAGUGAGACAUUCCUGUUCAUCUCUUGGACAGUGUCAUAAGUCACUUAUUGGUCUUGCCUGUUGCUGGACACAGCUGAUAUGGUGUGAACUCAGGCAUAGUGUGUAUGCGAGUAGCCAUCGUGCCUUCCUAGGACCAACUCAAUUUAGCUAUUAUCCUAUAAAGAAAGAGAAAAGAACAUUGAACAAGCCAAAUUACAUUGGUGGGGUAAAAGCUUUGAAAUGCAAUGACUUUAGAUAUUGACAACUGACAGUUGCUUCAUCAAGGCACAGAAUUUUUUAAAGUAUUUGACAAGGAAAAUACAGAUGCAACAUGAUGAAUUUUCUUGUGGAACAUUUUAAUGGAUAUGCUCAGCUUUCCCAGUGGGAUCUUACUUUCUUAGAGCAGGGAUUAGUCACCAUUUACUUGAUUUGUCUGAACUUUCUGCCAAAAUCAACAAGGAAGGAAUUGACAGGACGGACUUUAGAAACAAGGACGUUGUGACAUGUUUGAAGAGAACGCAUGCUCAGAGGAGGGUCUGAUUUUGUUUCAAAAAGCAGCUUCUUAUCAGCAAAACAAGCUCUACUCUUUCCUGUAUGUGUCUUGUCUCUGCCUUGCAGCAAUGCUGAGAUGUUUCAUCUUGUGGGAAGCCAAGGGAAAGCGAUUUACUAAAGGCAGAACAACUUUGCACAUGUUAUUGCAACUCCAGUCAUUCUAUUGAAUUCAGCUAAGACAAGCACUAAAACCAGCUGUGACUGUAAGGAUUUGAAGUCUUUGCAGUUACUACAGGGUCUGUUCUCCUGAAUCAACACAUCCUGCAGCUUCUAUGACAAAGGGAAGAAGUACAUACUGUACAGCAGCACAGGAAAAUACUACCCUGCUCUGUGGUCAUGGGUGACAUGGGGGAAGACAUGUCAGUCUCCCAAGGCAAGUCAAUAGGGCAAAACUUCAGUCAUUGAAAAAUGCCAUUUUUUAAUACACAAAAAUCAAACUUUGCAAAGGAGAUGUGAGGCAGUGCACAGAGCAGUUAUAUCUUUCAGAAAUCUAACUGAACACAAGUAGCCAGGAGUCCAUGUACUAACUUAAAGCAGCAACGAUACCACUUCUCUCUCCAUUCUUCUCCUCGCUCUUCCCUGAAACACUGCAACCAAAACUGACAGCACACCACGUCUUCCCAAGCCCCAAUAUUCACUCACACAUAGAGGAGAACAUGGGAGGCUUUUUAAAAUCCCCCUGACAACUGGUACAAGAAAACUGUUUAACUAUUAGUGGAAUGUCCUCUCAUAAAAUGCCAAACAGUCUUGUGUUUUUCAGGUCAAAAGCUAACAAGAUGAACUGUGAGCUCUUAUUACUUUUCUGUUCAUCCACAGUAAAAAUAUAGAGUGCUUUAAAAAUGUUGAGAACAUGACAGUGAUUGACAAGAAAAGAAGGCAUGUAAGGAGAUACUGUGCUGAAGAAAUUUUAAUUAUUUUAAUUAUUUUUGUAAAACAAAAUUCAUACUGAUAGAGGUUCUUGCAUUUGCAGUGUCAGCCAGGAGCCAGGGCUGUUUUCUCAGCCAAGACCCUUACACACUCUGCCUUGCACCCUUAUGAAAGAACACCUAAUUUGGUGUCUUGCAGGAUUAUAAUGUGAAUUCCUUAGUUAAUUGCUGAAGAUGCUGUUCCCAUGCCCUAUGCUUAGUGCACUGAUUUGCAUGCUUACAAGACAAAAGCAAAUUGCAGAACAGAGAGAUCUGAAUGUAAACCCAUUGCUAAACUUUGGCCUGGAAGCAUCAAAUUGUUCUUCUGAUCUUUCACAUUUACAGAAGGAAAUGUAGCUAAAGGCACGUGUAUGCAACUGUGAAGCCUUGGAGAUCCUCUGGAGAUGGAUGCAGGCAGGGCAAUCCAGCUUGGAAGUCCCCAAGAGCAGCAUAACAAGUGUAUAAUCAUUAUGUCCUUCUACUUAUUCUGGCCUUGUAUAAGAUGAAGCUGUGUGUCAUAUACUUAAUAUUAAAUGGACUGAAA